rnacentral:lncRNA from 1 species
CCCAUUUUCAGAAUGGCGGACCGGGCAGACACACAGGAAACAACACGUGGGUGCGGUGGCGCGGCACACAUUGCACGUGGAGUGCACGGUGGUCGCUUUAAUCCGUUAUUUUUGCAACUUUGUGGAUCAUCAAGACAACACGCAAGAAAUUGGUUUCUGAGGAAUUGCUGGCACAGUACAUAUACGUGAUGUGGAAAGCGGGCUCAAGAGAGACUCAAGUUCCAGUGAGGACCCCAAGUGACAGCCACUCUGACAGUGAUGAGCAAGAACAGUGGAUGGAGAAAACAGCAGAUUUUGGAAGGCCUCAUUGCCAGGUGAAUGUACUGCCAUGGCUGCCUACAUGAACGUUGAGGCUGGCUAGCAUCGUGGUACGAGUGGACUGACCGAGGAUAUCUCCAAAGUGAAGAGGCAGGUUACGUCAUAAGUAGCACAGACCUCCUCAUAUGACAGCUGUCGGUAUGCCCCAGGAGAAGCAGACCAUAAUGCUGAUGAGAAGAGCGCCCUCGCCUCCUUCAACCUG